rnacentral:rRNA from 1 species
AGGACGAACGGCUGGCGGCGUGCCUAAUACAUGCAAGUCGAACGGUCUUUCUAUGGAAGCUUGCUUCCACUGAGAAGAUAGUGGCGAACGGGUGAGUAACACGUGGGUAACCUGCCCAUAAGAGGGGGAUAACAUCCGGAAACGGGUGCUAAUACCGCAUAGUUUUCUUGAUCGCAUGAUCGGGAAAGGAAAGACGGCCUUUGUGCUGUCGCUUAUGGAUGGACCCGCGGCGUAUUAGUUAGUUGGUGAGGUAACGGCUCACCAAGACGAUGAUACGUAGCCGACCUGAGAGGGUGAUCGGCCACAUUGGGACUGAGACACGGCCCAAACUCCUACGGGAGGCAGCAGUAGGGAAUCUUCCGCAAUGGACGAAAGUCUGACGGAGCAACGCCGCGUGAGUGAAGAAGGUUUUUUCGGAUCGUAAAACUCUGUUGUCAGAGAAGAACAAGUUGGAGAGUAACUGCUCCAGCCUUGACGGUAUCUGACCAGAAAGCCACGGCUAACUACGUGCCAGCAGCGGC